UACAGAGGGGGCAAGCGUUAUUCGGAAUUAUUGGGCGUAAAGGGCGCGUAGGCGGCCUGGCAAGUGAAAGGUGAAAUCCCUCGGCUUAACCGAGGAACUGCCCUCCAAACUGCUUGGCUUGAGACCGGGAGAGGUGAGUGGAAUUCCCAGUGUAGCGGUGAAAUGCGUAGAUAUUGGGAGGAACACCAGUGGCGAAGGCGGCUCACUGGACCGGUACUGACGCUGAGGCGCGAAAGCGUGGGGAGCAAACGGG
rnacentral:rRNA from 1 species